rnacentral:misc_RNA from 1 species
UUUCCGUAGGUGAACCUGCGGAAGGAUCAUUGUCGAAACCUUCCCAGUAGAACGGGCGGUGAUUCGCAAUUGCUUUCCCGGUCAUCGUGUAUUCACCUCUGCGUUCUCCCAGUGUGAGAUUAGAAGACCUUCACUUUUCGACGAAAUCUCAAUUCACACGACAUACUCUAGUGACUACUUUGAAUGUAUAAACGCUUCAACUCACUUCAAUACAACUUUUAACACCGGAUCCCAUGGCGCUCGCAGCGAUGAAGAACACAGCAGACCGGAAGAGCACAC